UCCUGCCGCUGACUCUGCUGUUGGUGAUCGCUGCCCUUUGUUUCUACCGUAAGGCCAGCAGGGGGCAGAAGCCGGGCAGGCAGGAGGACAUCGAGCUGGAUUAUUAUAACCCGGGUGUUUCUGCAGCUGAAGGAGGGCCGACUGAAGAGGAAGGAGCUCAGGGAGCAGAGUAGGACCUCCAAGGAGCUCAUCUCAGCUGCCUCACAACCCACCAUCAGCUCAGUCUAGGAUUUUACUCUUUUCUAGUGAUGGAUAAGCCUCUGGUUCUGGUUCUUGGGGGGCCUUCACAGACACAGUUUGACUGCCUGACACAUUUACAAGCCAUAUAGUAACAUGAUUUGCCUUUGCUUUCAGAGUGAUAAUGGUUAACUGCUGAGCUCAUAUUACAAAAGUAGAACAUUUGAAGAAAGAUGUUUAAUUUGAGAUACUGUCUUUAUUUCUUUAAUAAGUCCUGUAUCUCUGCAUCUCUUGUGCCGGACCUCAUCUUUGCCUCUAGAAACCUUUGUCUGGGUACGGACAGACAUGUCUCAAGUCUCAAACUAACGCUAGUUUUCAGUACAGAGGAAGCUAAGGUCCACUCUUUUGCUGUAAAUUAAACCAAAAGCUAAAGCGUCCCUGACGACGCAUUUGUGUAUCUAGCGCACAUGAGGGGAGGUGUGAAAAAAGGUGCGAUGCAGAGGGGAAGGUCAAGAGUUUUACUUUUUACGCUUCUAUCAUUUUUAGUCAACGUUAAGACUUGUCUUCUGUAAGGACGUCUCAUGUAUGCAUUCCCUGAUGACGUCAAGAUAAUCAUUUUAAUCAGGAAAGAAGGCACUAUUUGCCUAAACGUCAGCAGCCACUGUGAAAAUGAAAGCAACAUCAUUUUGAGAUUAAAGAACAGAAGGAAGGUUUUUCUUUCAAAAAGAUGGUGACAACCCA